GUUCCUCCUGGGACAUCUGAUAAAAUUGGAAUGAUAUAGAGAAAAUUAGCAUGAUCUAUGUGAAAGAAUGAUACAAAGAAAUCAAGAAGUGGUCGAAGUCAAA